GUGCACUGACCCGGCACCUCAAGUCUCUCACCCCCUGCACAGAGAAAAUCCGCUUCAGUGUGAGCAAGGACGUGGUUGUCAGCAAAGAGGACGCACGUGCAGGUUCUGGAGCUGGAGCUGCCGGCUUGGGGACAGCCACAUCAUCGGUGACAGGCGAGCCUAUAGAGACUUCACCCGUGAUUCACCUGGUGACAGAUGCCAAGGGCACCGUCAUCCACGAAGUCCACGUCCAGAUGCAGGAGCUGUCCCUGGGCAUGAAAGCCCUGGCCCCAGAGGUGGGGGCGACGGGGGGCCCCGGAGGGCUGCUCUGUCUUCUGCCUGCUCGGUGCCAGUCUUUGUUCUGGGCACUGGCUCCAGGGGUCUGAGCCAGGCAGGCGAGGGCUGGGCUUCCCACAGGGAGAGCAGGGCCAGUGGGAGCGCCAUGGGGGUCUGAGGGUUUGCACAAGGCUCCUGGCGUGCGUCUGCCCCAUGGGGUGGGUGCUGGAUGCCAGGCUGCCUGGCCAGCCUCCUCUCUCUGCCUCCCCUGCAGCCCCCCGUCUCCCAGGAGCUCCCCUGCUCCAGCGAGGGCAGCCGUGAGAACCUGCUGCACCAGGCCAUGCAGAACUCCGGCAUCGUCCUUGAGCGCGCUGCUGGGGAGGAGGGUGCCCUGGAGCCAGCUCCUGCUGCCGGGUCCAGUCCCCAGCCCCUGGCAGUGGCAGCCCCGCAGCUGCCGGUACUGGAAGUGCAGCCGCUGGAGACAGUAGGUGCCAGCACCACCUGCGGGCUCCUCCCAGGGCUGGAUCCCAGGGGCUGUCCCCACGCUGGCCUUCGCCUCCCUGAAGUGGCUUUCUGCAGUGACUUUGUCCAUUGAUCUGUUUACUGCCUUCCCUGGGGCCACAAGGGAGCCUGCCAGGGUGGGGCCCAUGGUUGUGUUCUUGGUACUGCCAGGGCACAGCCUGCCCCGGGUGCUGGAGACCUUCCUGUGGUUCCCCAGCAGGUGGCCAGCGAGGCCUCAGCGGUGCCCAGGACCCACCCAUGUCCUCAGUGCAGUGAGACCUUCCCGACAGCAGCCACCCUGGAGGCCCACAAGAGGGGCCACACCGGGCCGAGGCCGUUCGCCUGCGCGCAGUGUGGCAAGGCCUUCCCCAAGGCCUACCUGCUCAAGAAGCACCAGGAGGUGCACGUGCGUGAGCGCCGCUUCCGCUGUGGCGACUGCGGGAAGCUCUACAAGACCAUUGCCCAUGUGCGUGGCCACCGGCGCGUCCACUCAGACGAGCGGCCCUACCCUUGUCCCAAGUGUGGCAAGCGCUACAAGACUAAGGUGGGUCUCUGGCCGCAGGACCCUGGCGCCUGAUCCCCCCAUCCUGCUCCCUGGCCGUGGCCCAGGUGCACCCCCUUCCCUGCCUCCACCAUGCUCAGUCUUGACCCAGCCCCUCCCUUGGGCCACAGGCGGGAGGGGAGAGCUGUAGUCUGUUGUGGCCAAGGCCAGGCUGGCACUGACAGGUGUCUCCACAGAACGCACAGCAGGUGCACUUCAGGACACACCUGGAGGAGAAGCCGCACGUGUGCCAGUUCUGCAGCCGUGGCUUCCGAGAGAAGGGCUCACUGGUGCGGCACGUGCGACACCACACAGGCGAGAAGCCGUUCAAGUGCUACAAGUGCGGCCGUGGCUUCGCCGAGCACGGCACGCUGAACCGGCACCUGCGCACCAAAGGGGGCUGCCUGCUGGAGGUGGAGGAGUUGCUGGUGUCUGAGGACAGCCCCGCGGCAGCCACCACCGUCCUCACGGAAGACCCGCACACAGUGUUGGUGGAGUUCUCGUCCGUGGUAGCUGACACCCAGGAGUAUAUCAUCGAGGUGGGUGUGGGGCCCUGGGGCCGUGCUGGGACCCAGGGGCAGCCAAGGCUGACCUCUGUCCUUCUGCCCAUCUGCCCAGGCCACUGCGGACGAUGCGGAGACCAGUGAGGCCACGGAGAUCAUCGAGGGCACCCAGACAGAGGUGAGGGGUAGGGCAGGCGGGGGCGGGGAGGCUCCCUGGCACAGCCGCUCUUGCUGAGCCGUGGCCCUGCAGGUGGACAGCCACAUCAUGAAGGUGGUGCAGCAGAUCGUGCACCAGGCUAGCGCCGGCCACCAGAUCAUCGUGCAGAACGUCACCAUGGACGAGGAGACGGCGCUGGGCCCAGAGGCGGCUGCCGCCGACACCAUCACCAUCGCCACCCCCGAGAGCCUGACAGAGCAGGUGGCCAUGACGCUGGCCUCGGCCAUCAGCGAGGGCACUGUGCUUGCCGCCCGGGCAGGGACAAGUGGCACUGAACAGGCCACUGUGACCAUGGUGUCAUCAGAGGACAUCGAGAUCCUGGAGCAUGCAGGCGAGCUGGUCAUCGCCUCGCCGGAGGGCCAGCUGGAGGUGCAGACGGUCAUCGUCUAGCAUGAGGUCUGCGGGGUCCUGGCCGGGCAGGGACAGGGCAGAGGACUCUGAGCGCCCCACCCAUGCCUGCCUGGCCUGGUAGAGAAGAUGGCACAGGAUGGAGGCGCCCCAAGACGGACAGUGUACAUAAGAGUUUCUUGUUGCUUUACAAUAAAACAUGAGAACCUGC
rnacentral:lncRNA from 1 species